GUGGGGAAUUUUGGACAAUGGGCGCAAGCCUGAUCCAGCAAUGCCGCGUGCAGGAAGAAGGCCUUCGGGUUGUAAACUGCUUUUGUACGGAACGAAACGGUCCGGGUUAAUACCCUGGGCUAAUGACGGUACCGUAAGAAUAAGCACCGGCUAACUACGUGCCAGCAGCCGCGGUAAUACGUAGGGUGCAAGCGUUAAUCGGAAUUACUUGGCGUAAAGCGUGCGCAGGCGGUUUUGUAAGACAGGCGUGAAAUCCCCGGGCUCAACCUGGGAAUUGCGCUUGUGACUGCAAGGCUGGAGUGCGGCAGAGGGGGAUGGAAUUCCGCGUGUAGCAGUGAAAUGCGUAGAUAUGCGGAGGAACACCGAUGGCGAAGGCAAUCCCCUGGGCCUGCACUGACGCUCAUGCACGAAAGCGUGGGGAGCAAACAGGAUUAGAUACCCCUGUAGUCC
rnacentral:rRNA from 1 species